AACGAACGCUGGCGGCAUGCCUAACACAUGCAAGUCGAACGAGACCUUCGGGUCUAGUUGCGCACGGGUGCGUAACGCGUGGGAACCUGCCCUUAGGUUCGGAAUAACUCCCCGAAAGGGGUGCUAAUACCGGAUAAUGUCUUCGGACCAAAGAUUUAUCGCCUUUGGAUGGGCCCGCGUUGGAUUAGCGAGUUGGUAGGGUAAAAGCCUGCCAAGGCGACGAUCCAUAGCUGGUCUGAGAGGAUGAUCCGCCACACUGGGAAUGAGACACGGCCCAGACUCCUACGGGACGGAGCAGUGGGGAAUAUUGGACAAGGGGCGAAAGCCUGACACAGCAAUGCCGCGUGAGUGAUGAAGGCCUUAGGGUUGUAAAGCCCUUUUACCCGGGAUGAGAAUGACGGUACCGGGAGAAUAAGCACCGGCUAACUCCGUG
rnacentral:rRNA from 1 species